UCCGGUAUAGUGUAACGGUCAACAUAUCGCGUUUUCAUAAGGACUCCUUAGAGCUUCUGAAGCAUCCGCGGGGCUCGGGGUUCGAUUCCCCGUACCGGAG